rnacentral:snRNA from 1 species
GGAUGUGAGGAAGAUCUAAAGUAUAUCAUCUGUCAUCCCUUUCAUCACCAGGGUUGAUUCAGCUGAUCUAUCUGGCUAGGUGGGUGUCCCUUUCCUCAACCACUGCUCCAUAUAUUCUUGAUUAUCUUCUCCAAAUAUAUAUGUGGAGAGUACACUGCCCCCACUCCUCUGCUAGACCCUCCAAACAGUUUCCCAAGUGUUUAGAGAGACUGGCCCCCAGGAGAGACCCCUGGAUGUGUGUUAACAGACUCAUGAGUCAGGCAUGUGUUGUUC